UACGUAGGGGGCAAGCGUUGUCCGGAUUCAUUGGGCGUAAAGAGCUCGUAGGCGGCUUGGCAAGUCGGGUGUGAAAACUCCAGCUCAACCUGGAGACGCCACCCGAUACUGCCAUGGCUAGAGUCCGGUAGGGGACCACGGAAUUCCUGGUGUGAGCGGUGGAAAUGACGCAGAGUAUCAGGAGGAACACCGGUGGCGAAGGCGGUGGUCUGGGCCGGAACUGACGCUGAGGAGCGAAAGCGUGGGGAGCGAACAGG
rnacentral:rRNA from 1 species